UGGGGAAUUUUGGACAAUGGGGGAAACCCUGAUCCAGCCAUCCCGCGUGUGCGAUGAAGGCCUUCGGGUUGUAAAGCACUUUUGGCAGGAAAGAAACGUCGCGGGUUAAUACCCCGCGAAACUGACGGUACCUGCAGAAUAAGCACCGGCUAACUACGUGCCAGCAGCCGCGGUAAUACGUAGGGUGCAAGCGUUAAUCGGAAUUACUGGGCGUAAAGCGUGCGCAGGCGGUUCGGAAAGAAAGAUGUGAAAUCCCAGAGCUUAACUUUGGAACUGCAUUUUUAACUACCGGGCUAGAGUGUGUCAGAGGGAGGUGGAAUUCCGCGUGUAGCAGCGAAAUGCGUAGAUAUGCGGAGGAACACCGAUGGCGAAGGCAGCCUCCUGGGAUAACACUGACGCUCAUGCACGAAAGCGUGGGGAGCAAACAGGAUUAGAUACCCUGGUAGUCCACGCCCUAAAACGAUGUCAACUAGCUGUUGGGGCCUUCGGGCCUUGGUAGCGCAGCUAACGCGUGAAGUUGACCGCCUGGGGAGUACGGUCGCAAGAUUAAAAACUCAAAUGAAUUGACGGGGUCAUAGCUG
rnacentral:rRNA from 1 species